rnacentral:lncRNA from 1 species
AAUUUUUGUGGCCAAAUAAGAAACAGACCAAUUUGUUUCAAAAGUUGGUACGAAUGUGGAUGCAUUUUCUAAGCAUAAAAAUGGAAUAUAGAUAAUAGGAAUAUCAAUCAUAUGUCUGAGCCUUAUAAAGAUGGAACUACAUUUAUAAUAUAAUAAUAAUUCCAGUAAUCAUAUGACACCUUCUGUAGCGUCAAAGGGCCCCUUUAGCAGUUCUUCUCUCUUUAAAAUUAGGCAUUGAUUUACUCUUAUAUUGGGGCUCUCCAUCUCAGUUCUAUUUUUUUCUUUUUUUUUUAUUUUUUAGAGCUGCACCCAUGGCAUAUGGAAGGUUCCAGGCUAGGGGUCGAAUCGGAGCUAUAGCUGCUGGCCUACACCACAGCCACAGCAGUGUGAGAUCUGAGCCAUAUCUGUGACCUACACCACAGCUCAUGGCAAUGCUGGAUCCUUAACCUAUUGCGGGAGACCAGGGAUCAAACCCACAUCCUCAUGGAUCCUAGUCAGGCUCAUGAACUGCUGAGCCAUAAAGGGAACUCCCCUUUUUUUUUGGCCCCAAUUAGCUCUUUUCUUGUGUAUGCUUUCCAUGAUGUAUUCCCUUUUUCUCUUCUACCAGAAUAAACUAAACCAAACAAUCAGCUCCUCAUGUUGAUAGCUGAUUCCCAGAGAAAUUUAUUCGUUUCACAAAGUCAUCAUUACAAGAGCUUUUGCACCAGUGUAUAUAUGGUGAAUCGAUCAAUAGUCUUUCCUUGGAUUAGAUGGCCAUCCCUGGACCAAUCAGGAGUCUAAAGUUUGCCUUUCUAGACUGGUAUUGAAAGGUGGUAAGAAUGUUGAAGAGCUGCAGCCAGAAGACAAGUCUCAGUUUUGGAAUUUUGAAUGACUUUGAGUAAGUGGCUUAAGCUUUUUAAACUUCUGUUUCUUCACCUUUAUUUUUUUCUUUUUUUUUUAAAUCACUCAAUGAAUUUAUUACAUGUAUAGUUGUACAAUGAUCAUCACAAUCAAAUUUUAUAGGAUUUCCAUCCCACAACCCCAGAGCAUCCCCCCAGCCCUCAGUUUCUUCACCUUUAAAACUGUGAGAAUCGUAAUCACAUCAUAGUUUUGGGAUGGGGAGUAAAUGAAAUGUAGACUGGCUACCCUAGUUCCAAGAUCAAGUGGCUACUCAAUAAAUAUUAGCUAUUAUUAUCA